AUUGAACGCUGGCGGCGUGCUUAACACAUGCAAGUCGUGCGGUAACAGGCGUAGCAAUACGUGCUGACGAGCGGCGAACGGGUGCGUAAUACAUGGGAAUCUGCCCUUUAGUGGGGAAUAACCCGGCGAAAGCCGGGCUAAUGCCGCAUAAGAUCUUCGGAUGAAAGCGGGGAUCGUAAGACCUCGCGCUGAUGGAUGAGCCCAUGUCGGAUUAGCAGUUGGUGAGGUAACGACUCACCAAGGCGACGAUCCGUAGCUGGUCUGAGAGGACGGCCAGCCACACUGGGACUGAGACACGGCCCAGACUCCUACGGGAGGCAGCAGUGGGGAAUAUUGGACAAUGGGGAAACCCUGAUCCAGCGACGCCGCGUGUGUGAAGAAGGCCUGCGGGUUGUAAAGC
rnacentral:rRNA from 1 species